AGCGAACGUUAGCGGCGGGCCUAACACAUGCAAGUCGCACGUGAAAGCUGACUUCGGUCAGUGAGUAAAGUGGCGGACGGGUGAGUAACACGUGGAUAAUCUACCCUUCGAUGGGGGAUAACAGUCCGAAAGGACUGCUAAUACCGCAUACGUCGUCGGGGCCUUCGGGCCCUGCCGGGAAAGUCGGCCUCUUCAUGAAAGCCGGCGUCGAUGGAGGAGUCCGCGUCGCAUCAGCUAGUUGGUAGGGUAACGGCCUACCAAGGCUAAGACGCGUAGCUGGUCUGAGAGGAUGAUCAGCCACACUGGGACGGAGACACGGCCCAGACUCCUACGGGGGGCAGCAGUGGGGAAUAUUGGGCAAUGGGCGCAAGCCUGACCCAGCCACGCCGCGUGAGUGAUGAAGGCCUUCGGGUCGUAAAGCUCUGUGGGGAGAGACGAAGAAGUUGGAGUUAAUGGCUCCAGCGGUGACGGUAUCUCCUUAGCAAGCACCGGCUAACUCCGUGCCAGCCGCCGCCGUAAAAC
rnacentral:rRNA from 1 species